rnacentral:rRNA from 1 species
UACGUAGGGGGCAAGCGUUGUCCGGAAUCAUUGGGCGUAAAGAGCGUGUAGGUGGCUCGGUAAGUCCGCUGUGAAAGUCCAGGGCUCAACCCUGGAAUGCCGGUGGAAACUGUCGAGCUAGAGUCCGGAAGAGGCGAGUGGAAUUCCUGGUGUAGCGGUGAAAUGCGCAGAUAUCAGGAGGAACACCAAUGGCGAAGGCAGCUCUCUGGGACGGUACUGACGCUGAGACGCGAAAGCGUGGGGAGCGAACAGG